UUAGAGGGGUCAAUGCACACACUGAAAGAGAAGGUUUCUAUAAGUGCUGCUAUAUUCUGUAUGGAAGGUUAUGCGAAGUAGUUCCUUGCCGCUAUUGUCAGACGUCUUGGAAAUGGGUCUCUACAAAUAAAAGCAGUUUUUAAACCUUUACUUGAGGAAGUUAUGACCAAACAUGUC